rnacentral:rRNA from 1 species
AGAGUUUGAUCCUGGCUCAGGAUGAACGCUAGCGGCAGGCCUAAUACAUGCAAGUCGAACGGUGAUAGCAAUAUCAUAGUGGCGCACGGGUGCGUAACACGUAUGCAACCUACCUAUUAUUGGGGGAUAGCCUUUGGAAACGGAGAUUAAUACCGCAUAAUACGAUUGACUGGCAUCGGUUGAUUGUUAAAGCUUCGGCGAUAAUAGAUGGGCAUGCGUCCAAUUAGUUAGUUGGUUAGGUAACGGCUGACCAAGACGAUGAUUGGUAGGGGAUCUGAGAGGAUAAUCCCCCACACUGGCACUGAGAUACGGGCCAGACUCCUACGGGAGGCAGCAGUAGGGAAUAUUGGGCAAUGGGCGGAAGCCUGACCCAGCCAUGCCGCGUGCAGGAAGAAGGCGUUAUGCGUUGUAAACUGCUUUUUUAUAGGAAGAAGGAUCCCUUGCGAGGGAAGGUGACGGUACUAUAAGAAUAAGCACCGGCUAACUCCGUGCCAGCAGCCGCGGUAAUACGGAGGGUGCAAGCGUUGUCCGGAUUUAUUGGGUUUAAAGGGUGCGUAGGCGGUUUAUUAAGUCAGUGGUGAAAGACGGUCGCUCAACGAUUGCAGUGCCAUUGAUACUGGUAGACUUGAGUGAG